UGGGGAAUUUUGGACAAUGGGCGAAAGCCUGAUCCAGCAAUGCCGCGUGUGUGAAGAAGGCCUUCGGGUUGUAAAGCACUUUUGUCCGGAAAGAAAUCCUUGGCUCUAAUACAGUCGGGGGAUGACGGUACCGGAAGAAUAAGCACCGGCUAACUACGUGCCAGCAGCCGCGGUAAUACGUAGGGUGCAAGCGUUAAUCGGAAUUACUGGGCGUAAAGCGUGCGCAGGCGGUUUGCUAAGACCGAUGUGAAAUCCCCGGGCUCAACCUGGGAACUGCAUUGGUGACUGGCAGGCUAGAGUAUGGCAGAGGGGGGUAGAAUUCCACGUGUAGCAGUGAAAUGCGUAGAGAUGUGGAGGAAUACCGAUGGCGAAGGCAGCCCCCUGGGCCAAUACUGACGCUCAUGCACGAAAGCGUGGGGAGCAAAGCAGGAUUAGAUACCCUGGUAGUCCACGCCCUAAACGAUGUCAACUAGUUGUUGGGGAUUCAUUUCCUUAGUAACGUAGCUAACGCGUGAAGUUGACCGCCUGGGGAGUACGGUCGCAAGAUUAAAACUUAAAUGAAUUGACGGGGUCAUAGCUGUUUCCU
rnacentral:rRNA from 1 species